AGAGUGAUAAGCAUCCUAAUCUUUAUAUUUCGUAAAAAUGUAUUUGCUUAAAACAGAUAACUGUCUAAAAUAGAAUUUUUUUUUUGUACUUAUUGAUUCCGUCUUAAAGAGAGUUUACUGUAUUUUAAAGUUACACGAUUGACAGAAAACAGCCUAAUGGAAUUUCAGCGAUAUACAGUGGAAUUUUUCUCAAUUCCAUGAAAUGUAGGAAUUUUAUACCCUGCUGGAUAAUUUUUAUAUGAAAAGAAAAUAAUGUAAGUUUCUUAAGCAUAUUUUAGAGGAAAUAUUCACUACACCAAGUUGAUUUAAAUGAACACAUAAAUAUCUUGCAUGUUUUAUGCACUAUUUUUAGGUGUUCUAAUAGUAAAUUUCCUCUUCGAAUGUAACAAAAUAUUCGAACAUUUUAAAGUUUAACUAAUAAAAUAGUGAUGGGUGAAAAGAAUAUAAAAGGAUAGGGGUCCAUUCAUAAGUCUUAGUUUUUUUCAAAUAUCAAUUAUAUGAAUCAAAUUAAUAAUUAAUUUGAUUAGUUUUAAUAAUUUCAUAAAUUUUACAAACAAGUCUUAAGAAUCGAACAAACAAAAUAUUUAAUUAGUUUAAAAAAUAGUUAGCAGAUAAUUAAACAUCUGUAAACAAAUAGAAAUUCUUUUCGUAUGAAAAAUAGAUUAUACUAAUGCUAAAAUUUAUGUAAAGUAAUGAUCAAUAGCUAUGUGAAAUUCUAUGUAGAAUUUUUAUUUUUCAAAAAGCUAGACAAUAGCAAUUUCAAACAUAUUAGGUUUAGUUCAUAAUAUUUUUAAAUUUAACAUUAUUAGUUUGCUAUUUAACAGAAAACAUUUUAAAUAAAACUUAGAGACAUACAAAAUUAACUGAACUUGAAAUGUUCUAAGUUAUAAUAACUAACAUUUUUUUCCUAAAUGCAACUGAAUAUAUAAAAUUAUCUAGCCAAUAUUUUCUAAAAUUAAAUUUUUUAAUACACAUUUUACAUUAAUUUUAUAAAAAAUAAAAAUAAUAAAUUAAUUGUAAAAUUGAAGUUUCUUUUAAAUCAAUAAUCAUAAUGAAAAUAAAUGUUUUUAACACUGAUAAAAUCUACAUAGCAGUUACAUGAAAAAAAAGAUCAGAAAUUGAUCAGAUAACAUUUUAAAUAAAUGAGAAUAACAAAGAAAGAAUAAUUCUAAUUUAUAUGUUUAAUUUUAAAAAGACUAAAAAAUGCUUCUUAACUUUAUAACUUUACACUUUUAAACCUGAGGAUUUUUUUUUUUUUUUUAAUAUCAAAAUAUUACCUUGAUAAAUUUUGGGAUAAUUUGAUCAGAAAAGUAAUAUUUUGCAACAAAAAAUAAAUUUUCUUUUGCUAAAUGCAAAAUAUUAAAUAAUUCUACAGCAGAAAUAAAAUUGUUUCAAAAUAUAUGAUGAAUAUCAUAUUUAUCAGUGCAAUUAAUUUUUUUAAACUAUUUUGAACUAAAUAGAGUUCAAAGAAGUGAAUCUCCAUACUGUAACAAAUACUUAAUUCUUCAGAAUUUAUUAUGCUAAUAACAUUUUGAAUAACAAAAUAUUAUUACCCUAAUAAAUACAGGAAUAAUUUUUCAAAGUAAUAAACUUUUAUGGCAAAUUGACAAAUGUAGGCGUUUAUAGUUAAUUUUAUUAAAGAAAUAACCAUAUAAAAAAUAUGAGGUGAAUAAUACGAAACCCUUUAUCAUUGCAUUUAAUCUGCAUUUAGUGUUUAUGUUCUGAAUUUCAAGGAACAAAAUGUUUUCUGUAAGUUUCUUGUUUAACCUCAAUAUCUUGAGAAAUAUUUAUUUUAUACAUGUAAGAAGGGAUGAAGAGUUUCAACUAGUUAUUUAUUUGUAAUGUUAAAUACUGUGUAAAAUAUUUAUUUUCUUGUAAUUUGAGUUGUAUUUUUGUGCUCAUUUCUAAAUGGACCAAUAAUGGUUAUGCACACUGGAUUGUAUUUGAUACUGGUUUUAAAUAAAAUGUAAAUAAAACA